ensembl:lncRNA
CCAGCAUACCUGAUUCUCAUCGUCAAUUUCAUUUCUUCUAUUGUGUCUUUCCACAGAGGCUGUUCUGUAGGAAACUGUUCCACUCUCCUUUUCCAGCAGAGGAGACAGGUCACCAAACAAGAUUCUACCAACAAAAAGGUGUUGGUUUCUUUUCCCAUCUCUCAUCUUCUUUUUCCCAAGGACCUUCAGUUGCCAUUUCUACUUUUUUAAUUUUUGUUUUUGGCAUGAUUCAUCAGAGGCCAAAACGAGAGUGAAAAUGUGUUUCAAAACAGCCCAGACAGUGGAUUUGUAAAGGCAUAGCUUUGUUUCUUUCAAAGCACAGUUCAUUUUUUUCUAAAGGGUGAUCUGUGCAGCACACUCCUCCCAGAGGAUAAUAGAAAUGGAAGAUGACUGGGGAUUGUUCCUGGCUCUUUUCCAAGAAGUACUUUGCUUCAUUUGGCUGCCUUCUUGAGAGCUGGAUAAAGAUAGUAUGCAGAGACAGAAAUCACAAAGGUAAUUUUAUUUAACCAAUAAACAUCAUUCUGUGUUCCAGAGAGCUUGCUACUACUCGCUUUUGCUUCUCAACAGCAGUGCUGGUACUCAUUUACUUUAAUUCCCAUCAAUAACAUCCACUCUUUCACUGGCAUCUUGUUUUUCUGUCCUGGUCCUCUUGUCAUUUCCUCUGCUUGCUCCUGCAGAUUCCCAGUGUGAUGGCACAGUGUGACAGUCUGUUUUAUUCACAGCCUCCUCGAUGGUAGGAAUGUUGGCACCCUGUGAAGCACAAGCUCAGAGCAAGGCGCUGCACUUCAGUCCCAGCAGCGUGGAGUGCUUCCCUAAUCUUCCCAGCCCUCCUCCCAUCCGCAGGGCCAGCCUGCCGCUCAGCCUAGCCUUUGACCCCCACAGCCACAUUGUUCCCCUGAUGCUGGACACGCCCAGCAGUGAAUGCAGCAUGGCCAGUCAGGAAAAUGGCUCCACAGAAUCCUUCUCUUACAGCGACCAGAAUCAAGGCUUCAGUUCACCAGCUUCCUGCCCUUGUCUGGAGAAGCUGGAGCCUGCAGACAACCUGGAGGCCACCUACUUUCAGUACAGCAGCCAGGGGGGAAUCUAUCAGCUCUCCCAGUUGUGUCACCAAGGUCACCGGGCCGGCAAUAUGUUCUCCAGUGACCACCUUCCUCCUCCAACACCCCUAGAGUCCCAUCCAGCUUUCCCUGACUUACCUGGCAACAGUGGAGCCAUAACCUACGGAGCCACACAAGGCUAUGUGUGGCCAGUCAUGCCACAGCAGCCAAGUGACAAUUCAGCAGAUAUCCCUGCCUAUCCAGCUGUGCCCUGGAGUGAUUUCUACGUGCAGGGAGCUCCUUUCUCCGAUCAGUUGCAUUCCCAAAUGACUUUUUCUAGCAUGGCAGGAGGGCAGUACUUCACAGAGCCGUAUCUCCCUCAAGUGCCGAACAGAACAGUACUGGAAUUCAUGCCACAGACUGGAAGACAAAAGGGAGUGACACCACCAGAGCCAAGUUCCUACCAGAGCUACCAAACAGAGGCAGAGUUGGCAGCACUCGCUGAAAAAGAGGACUUAGAGAGGAGCGGCAAGAAAGGAGAGACUGAAACUGAAGAAGAAACUUAUGACUGAAGCGGCACUCUGAGAAAAAAAGGAAGAGGAAAAAUUGCUAUUUUAAACUCUGCAAAACAAGAGUCAAAAAGAGACAAGGAUAUUAUUAUUUGCAACAGAUGCACUUUUUAAUUUAUUUUUUUGGUUGUAUUUUUUUUUUCUUGUUGCCAUGAUUAUUUUCUUGCUGAAGAAAGAAGCAGGGGUAUUUCACUCAAUCAGAGUUCCUGCCCUGUCUUUUUUUUUUUUUUUUUUUUUUUUUUUUUUUUUUUUUUUUUUUUUUUGCAAAUCUCCUGGCUUUAUUCUUCUUAACAAAUUCUAAUAAAUUCUAAUCUUGACCAGCCCUCA